AUUGAACGCUGGCGGCAUGCUUUACACAUGCAAGUCGAACGGUAACAGGCCUUCGGGCGCUGACGAGUGGCGAACGGGUGAGUAAUGCAUCGGAACGUGCCCAGUCGGGGGGGAUAACGCAGCGAAAGCUGUGCUAAUACCGCAUACGAUCUGCGGAUGAAAGCGGGGGACCUUCGGGCCUCGCGCGAUUGGAGCGGCCGCUGUCAGAUUAGGUAGUUGGUGGGGUAAAGGCUCACCAAGCCAACGAUCUGUAGCUGGUCUGAGAGGACGACCAGCCACACUGGGACUGAGACACGGCCCAGACUCCUACGGGAGGCAGCAGUGGGGAAUUUUGGACAAUGGGCGCAAGCCUGAUCCAGCAAUGCCGCGUGCAGGAAGAAGGCCUUCGGGUUGUAAACUGCUUUUGUACGGAGCGAAAAGGCUCCCUCUAAUACAGGGGGCUCAUGACGGUACCGUAAGAAUAAGCACCGGCUAACUACGUGCCAGCAGCCGCAGUAACAC
rnacentral:rRNA from 1 species